rnacentral:rRNA from 1 species
AUUGAACGCUGGCGGCAGGCCUAACACAUGCAAGUCGAGCGGAUGAAGGGAGCUUGCUCCUGGAUUCAGCGGCGGACGGGUGAGUAAUGCCUAGGAAUCUGCCUGGUAGUGGGGGAUAACGUCCGGAAACGGGCGCUAAUACCGCAUACGUCCUGAGGGGGAAAGUGGGGGAUCUUCGGACCUCACGCUAUCAGAUGAUCCUAGGUCGGAUUAGCUAGUUGGUGGGGUAAAGGCCUACCAAGGCGACGAUCCGUAACUGGUCUGAGAGGAUGAUCAGUCACACUGGAACUGAGACACGGUCCAGACUCCUACGGGAGGCAGCAGUGGGGAAUAUUGGACAAUGGGCGAAAGCCUGAUCCAGCAAUGCCGCGUGUGUGAAGAAGGUCUUCGGAUUGUAAAGCACUUUAAGUUGGGAGGAAGGGCAGUAAGUUAAUACCUUGCUGUUUUGACGUUACCAACAGAAUAAGCACCGGCUAACUUCGUG